rnacentral:rRNA from 1 species
CCUACGGGUGGCACCAGUGGGGAAUCUUCCACAAUGGGCGAAAGCCUGAUGGAGCAACGCCGCGUGAGUGAAGAAGGUCUUAGGAUUGUAAAGCUCUGUCCUUAGGGAAGAACCGUGGGUAUAGUAAAUGCUACCCACCUGACGGUACCUUUGGAGGAAGCACUGGCUAACUACGUGCCAGCAGCCGCGGUAAUACGUAGAGUGCAAGCGUUGUCCGGAAUUAUUGGGCGUAAAGGGUACGCAGGCGGAUAAUCAAGUCAAGCGUGAAAGGUGUCGGCUUAACCGACAGACUGCGUUUGAAACUGAUUAUCUUGAGUGUAACAGAGGAGAGUGGAAUUCCUAGUGUAGUGGUGAAAUACGUAGAUAUUAGGAAGAACACCAGUGGCGAAGGCGACUCUCUGGGUUAACACUGACGCUGAGGUACGAAAGCUGGGGGAGCGAACGGGAUUAGAUACCCUAGUAGUC